rnacentral:lncRNA from 1 species
GUGUCUCAAUCUUUUUAAUUUAGUUGCAUGGAAAGCCAAUUGUCUAGUGGAAGUAAUGGUUUAUAUAGAUUUAAAUCAUGUUACUGCCUGAGGAAGUUGCUAGUUGGGUGGGGAGAGUGGAGGGAGUAUUCGAUCUAAGAAAGAAGAAUAUUUACAUUAGGCUGGAAUUGCUGAGGAGCAUUUGAAAUAUCUAAUUCUGAAUUAAGGUUUUUUAACACCUAAGUUUGUACUAAGUUAAAGUUUGCCAUAAAGUCUGUGAUAAAGAACAGAAUAAACAGCAUCAGCCCCUGACUGGUUUUGACCUUGAGUUCUAGCCACAAAGCCAUUUUAUCUGGGGAUAGUGGCUGAUGAUUCAGGUGAGUCCUGAAAGCUGAAGGAAGAACUGAUUACUUUUGAAGAUUCUUGUUCCAUUUAUCUUGUGCUCCACACUGCCUAGUGUAGCUCCUCAUACAUGAUUGGCACCCCAAAAUAUUUGUUGAGCUGAAAUUACUGUCUGCCAACUGAACAAGCACAAUGAGGGUGUGAAGGACAGGACAAUACUUAACUAAGCUUGUGCAGUUGAGAGACAAUUGCCUUAAGGAGUGAGAGAGGAGUUCCUGCCUUGGCACAGUGGGUUAGGAAUCCAACUUCAGAGGCUCAAGUCGCUGUGGAGGUAUGGGUUUGACCCAGCAUUGCCAGAGCUGCCAGGUAGUUCAUAGCUGCAGCUUGGAUUCAGUCCUUGGCCAGGGAACUCCCAAAUGCCACUGGUACAGCCAUUUUUUUUUUUUUUUUAAAUGAGUUAGAGGGACCUCUGAGGGAGGGAAAGAGGAAGGGGAAGUGGUUGAUGUGCCUUAUCACAGAACUUUUCAUGGGAUGAAAACACAAAUGCCUUGAUUCUCAGAGGAUGCAAAGCAAUGAGAAUCAAACCCAAGGAAACCACUUACAAAGAAAGGUGGAGUUUGCUUAGGAAGGGCAAUAUGGGGGUUAUCAUGUUUUCCAUUCAUACACAAAUUCAUUCCAGGAAUAGCCAUUCUCCAUAGCAGGUGUCACUCUGGUCCCUCACGUGACAUGGCCAUCUGGUGUGCCUUGGAUAGGAAUUUUUUAAAAUACUAGGUUGGCUCUGACAAUUGUUAACAUUAUGGUGAAAUGACUUCAGAGGAAGCACAUCGAAAGCAAGAGACAAUCUAGUCCCCCUAACUCUGGAACAUCAAUGGUCAGACAGGUAAUCAAGAGAUAACACAUUGUUUUAUGUUCCCUGAUACAAUAUCUUGGAGUCAUCUGUUAUUUAAUAACGAAGGCUAAUGAAAAAUUUAUGUUGAACCUAUUUCUAAGCUAUUUAUAUCAGCUUUUAGCUGACUGCUAUUCAGAGUAGCUGACUGCUAGAGUAGAUGAAGUUGUCCAGGUAAGGGUAUAGCAGAGGAGCUGAGGGCCUGGAACAGAUGAGCUGAGUAUGCUUAUUUUGGAGAAGUGGAAAGUGGACAGCCUUAUAGGAUGAUGGGAGGGAACCAGGAGAGGUCUUUGAGUGAUCUAGAAUCCAAGAGUGUUUCCAGAAAGAAGAAGUGACUUUUAAUAAAUUUUAGUAAAGAGCUUUGUAGAUUUACUCCAUGAUAGUACUUUUGUUUGCUACUCAAUCUUCAGAGAGUUCUGCACUCACUAGAUAUUUCUGAGGUUAGUGAUCCAGAAACAUAUGUAAUCUACCCAGGUGCUUUAUAAAUGUAACAUUUUGAGUAAGUCUCCCAUGGCUGUGUUUUCUGAGCCAGAUAUUGAGUCACAUGAGCUGACUGUGGGGCAAAAUGUUUGACCUCAGGUUGUUCUGGAAAACUGUGAGUGAGGGCAGCCAUGGAUCUUUCCCCCAGCCUUUCCUUUGAGCAUGGAGGAAUCACAAUUAUAGUAUCUUCAUGUUUAGCCUCUCCACCCCUCAGAAUUUGUUACCAUCUAAAUAAAGACCUCUUCCAAGACCUCUAUGCCUUUUUUAAAAUGAGGACUAUUAGGAUUAUAUCUGACUUAAAAAUACUACUUAUUGGAGAACAUUCUCAUUACAGAAAAUACAAAAAAUUAGAGAAAAAUCUCUCAUUAUACAGGAAUCUAUGUCUCUAUUUACAUUUUAUUUUAUUUUUAUUGCUUUUUUAGGGCUGCACUUGUGUGCAUUUCGAAGUUCCUGGGUGGGGGUCAAAUUGCAGCUGUAGCUGCAGGCCUAUGCCACCGCUACAACUAUGCCAGAUUUGAGCCUCGCCUGCAACCUACACCUUCCUUAACCCACUGAGCCAAGCCAGGGAUUGAACAUGCAUCCCUGGAUACUAGUUGGUUUCUUAAUCCACUGAGCCACAGUAGGAAUACCUCUGUUAACAUUUCAAAGUGUGUUCUUCUCCAUCUUUUUCUACACAUUUUUAAAACUUUCUUUUUAACAGUUCUUUUUUUUUUUUUUUUUUUUUUUUUUUUUUUUUUUUUGGAGCUACAGCUGCUGACCUAUGCCACAGCCACAACAACAGGAUCUGAGUUGUAUCUGUGACCUGCACCACAGCUUACAGUAAUGCCAGGUCCUUAACCCCUGAGCGAGGCCAGGAAUCAAACCCACAUCCUCAUGGAUGCUAUUCGGGUUUGUUUCCACUGCGCCACAAUGGGAACUCCUCUUUUUGACAGUUCUGAAUAAUUUUUAUAAAUAAUCUUAUGUGUUGUUUUUUUCUCCACUUGAUCUAAUACAGUUUCCAACUUUAAAGUCUUCAUAAGGUUUAUUUGUAAUAGUUACACUACAUAAUCUAAUUAACAAGGUCCCUAAGGUUAAACAUUUGUAUUAAUUACUGAUUUUUAUUAUUAUUAAUACUCUGCCUCUAACACAUUUAUUUUAAUGCUUUUACAUUUUUCACAAUAUUUAAUUUAACAGAUUAAGAAACAUAACUGUUUUUGAGGCUUUUGAUUUAAUUUGCUAAAUUGCUUUCUGUGUUGGGUACCAGUCAUCUUUACUAAAAUUACAGGCUUGGAAUUCCUGUUGUGGCUCAGCAGUGUUGCCAUAAGCUGCUGCAUAGGUCACAGAUGUGGCCCAGAUCCAGUGUUGCCCAGCUAUGGUGUAGGCCUCAACUGUAGCUCUGACUCAGCCCCUAGCUUGGGAAUUUCUAUAUGC